UUAACAGUUUCAGAGUGAAGUUAGUUCAUAUGUUAUGCUAAUAUUGUGUGUGUUUGGACAACGUUUCGCAGAUGAGUUUUGGAUCAAGACAGAGGCAACGCAGAAGACUGGCGUGGGAACACAACACCUAUUGAGAGACGGCAAGCGGGCGUUCCUGGAUGUUGUGUUCAUGGAGUCCGACGUGUGGCUGUACUGGAAGAGCUGCCCCAGGCAACAGGCCAGUGAUGCAUGGCUGGGUGUGAAGGGCUGUGUGGGGCUCUGGGGACGAGCCAGGGCUCGGGAACGCUGCCGCCAUCUCCUUGCCCAAGAGCUCCAUCUCCACAGUUUGUUAAAUUCUGUGUUUACGAUACCAUAAAUAUUAAUCAAAAUUAUAUCUUAUUUUUUUUCUUUAUUUUGAUUUUGGCCCUUUUGUUAUUUUAUUAGUUUGUUCUUCCCGUAUUUUUCUUUUUUCUUUCAUUCGUUUCUUCCUGUCCAAUUUUUUGUGUUCCUCUCUACCUGAGAGGCGUUCCUGUGUCUGCUUGCAUGUGUCUGCGUGUAUGUGUCUGUGCGCAUGUGUUUGUGCGUGCAUGUGUUUGUGAAUGUGUCUUUUGUGUCCCCUGCUGUUUUCUCCCCUCCUCUCAAAAUCUAAAAAGGUGACAAAGAAUCUCAGGCCGGAUAAUGGAACGUUUCUUUACAGCAAACAUAUAAUGGUUUCCUGAAAUGAUAGAUGAUUGUGGCCAAAAACAGGCAAAGCUAAGAGAAUCUAUUCAUUAGAAAUGAUCCGUGGGGGAGAGAGAGCAUGACUCUGGCUUUCAGCACAGCCAUGUGUCUUCGCUGGAAUUUGUUUGUGCUCAGGAAAUAAAAAGGAGACCAUAAGUAGAUAAACGUGUUGACAUCUUCAGCUUUCUGUGUCAUUCUUAAACAACAAUUUAGAUUUUAAGUUCAAUUUCUUCCAAGACCAAAUGCCUCCUUCAUUAAUUGAAAUAAAUGUUAUUUUUGCUUUUAGGCAUUACUAUUUGCCACUCAUUUGGUUUUUCAUUCUGUUUUGCUUGCUUACACGUUUAUCUUUUAUAUGGUUAAAAAUGUAAUCUUUAUGAUGUAUAUUGAGAUAGAAGCUUUUGAAUUGACAGUCACACUAAUGCAACCUCUAUUUACUACUUCACUAUAUUUAAUUCCUUUAAUUAUGAUUCAUUAGUAUUGAACAAAGUAUUUGCCUCAGUUUACCAGCAUAAUUAAAACAAA
ensembl:lncRNA uncharacterized LOC115555456